rnacentral:rRNA from 1 species
GAUGAACGCUGGCGGCGUGCUUAAUACAUGCAAGUCGAACGGACGGGCGCGUAUCUUGCUAUUCUGAUGUUGACCGCGGGAGGGAGAGUAAAGCAAGGAUCACCUACCUAUGGGACUAGGUUAGCUUCGGGAAGCCGGUACUGGAAAGGGAUACUUGUUUCAAGGGCGUGGUUCAAAAGUUACAGAGGGUCUUGCUGUACCUUCGACAUAUCUCCGCGCUGCAUUAGCUGGUUGGUACGGUAACGGCUUCCCAAAGCAAGGAUGAAUAGCCGACCUGAGAGCGUGAUCGGCCACACUGGAACUGAGACACGGUCCAGACUCCUACGGGAGGCAGAAGUAGGGAAUCUUGCGCACUGGGCGAAAGCCUGACGGAGCAACGCCGCGUGAGUGAUGAAGGUCUUCGGAUCGUAAAACGCUGUUAUGAGUGAAGAACAUAUGUGUAAGUAGCUGUGCACAUCGUGACGGUACCUAAUCAGAAAGCCACGGCUAACUACGUG